ensembl:lncRNA
GUUUGGUUGCGAGCAUAAGUCACCAUGGUGAUACAGCGACGCUAAAAGAGAUCGACUUUCGUGGUACAACUAACCCAGGCUUGGAGCUCAACUUACCUCGCUAACCCUCUAAGCGAGCUUCGUGGUACAGGGCCCAGAGCCCUGUUUCAGAACAGGUGAUCAGCGUUGGGUUAAUCAACUCUGAGCGUGUUCACGCUUGGUUGGGGGCGUGCCUGUUGACUAUAAAGAGCCAUCAUCAAUGGAUCUCUGAUAACAUGAUCAAUAUGGACCAAAAACGUAGAUCCAGUUACUUUUCACACACGGAAUUGGAAAUAUUAAUGCACGCGUAUGCCGAGCAGAAACACAUUUUCACCCAAAAAAGCAAUACCGCCGCAGCAGCGAGAGCACGAGAGAGAGCUUGGCAGGAAAUAGCCGAACAAGUCAAUGCGAACAACCCGAGUUGCCCCAAGAGGACUUGGCAGCAAAUGAAAAUGAAGUAUAAAAAUAUAGUUCAAACAGCAAAUCGAAAAAAAGCAGAGGCCCGGAAGACUGGAGGGGGUCCACCACCUGCAGCCCUCACAGUGGCUGAGGAGAUGGCCCUCAGCCAACAGAGUAUGCGUCCUGUGGCUGAGGGCAUCCCUGGGGGGAGCUCCUCUGAUCCCCCCCCAGGAUAGAAGUGCCUUUAUCAGAGUUACUGAUGGCGUCAUCAACCUACUGGAACCAGAUGCCCUCACCAACCUCCAUGCAAUUGAAGAUGAUGGAGAAACAUUGUCUGCGGCAUUUGAAAGGGAAGAGGAAAGGCCUAUUGAGCAUGAAAUCGAAUUCAAUGAGAGGCCAUCCACUUCUAGCUCUACUUCACAGCUUACCUCUCUUCCAGUCAAAGAGCUCUAUAAAAUCUAUCUGGGAAAACAAAUAAACAAAGCAGACUUAGAAAUGGACCACAUAAGGCAAAAGAUGCAAAAGGAUGCUUUGGAGAUCCAAAUUUUGGAACACAAGUUAAAGGAAAUAAAGAAAUCCUCAUAAAAAGUAGAAUGUCUUUAUUAGAACACGGGCUGUGGUGGGAC